rnacentral:tRNA from 1 species
GCUCCGGUAGUAUAGUCCGGUCAAGUAUAACGGCCUCUCGAGCCGUGGACCCGGGUCCGAAUCCCGGCCGGAGCACCA